AGUGAACGCUGGCGGUAGGCCUAACACAUGCCAGUCGAACGGCAGCACAGUAAGAGCUUGCUCUUACGGGUGGCGAGUGGCGGACGAGUGAGGAAUACAUCGGAAUCUACUUUUUCGUGGGGGAUAACGUAGGGAAACUUACGCUAAUACCGCAUACGACCUACGGGUGAAAGCAGGGGAUCUUCGGACCUUGCGCGAUUGAAUGAGCCGAUGUCGGAUUAGCUAGUUGGCGGGGUAAAGGCCCACCAAGGCGACGAUCCGUAGCUGGUCUGAGAGGAUGAUCAGCCACACUGGAACUGAGACACGGUCCAGACUCCUACGGGAGGCAGCAGUGGGCAAUAUUGGACAAUGGGCGCAAGCCUGAUCCAGCCAUACCGCGUGGGUGAAGAAGGCCUUCGGGUUGUAAAGCCCUUUUGUUGGGAAAGAAAAGCAGCAGGUUAAUACCCCGCUGUUCUGACGGUACCCAAAGAAUAAGCACCGGCUAACUUCGUG
rnacentral:rRNA from 1 species